rnacentral:pre_miRNA from 1 species
UAGUUUUGUCCUAAAUCAAAGUUCUCUAAAUUUGACCAAGUUUAUAGAAAAAUAAUUAACAUCUACAAUACCAAAUAAAUACACUAUCAAGACAUAUUUCAUGGUGGAUUUUACUGAAACCAAUUUGAUGUUGUAGAUGUUGGUGCAUUUUUCUAUAAACGUGGUCAAAAUAGAAAAGUUUGACUUGAGGACGAAACUCA